CUUCUACGUGUACGUGCACGAGCAACAGCCCGAAGGCGGUCGAGGGACCAUUUGCUGCGGCAUCCACUUGCGCGGUUAUGAAUGGAGAAACUUCUGGUCUCGUGGGCUCGCGUAAACGUUAACACGCCGUCCGUACACGCGAGGGUCGGCCCGCCACGAAGAAAGGGCUCCGGUUUAUAUUCUCUGCGAGGCUCGUGCAACUGCGAGAUCCGCCAGGCCAAAGGAACGGAAACUGAAGAAGGAUACAACGAACAGAGGGAAGGUGAAUGCGAGCGGCGAGGACCGCAAGAUCAGCGACCAUCCGCAGCGCGCUGCUGUUGUACGCCAAGCAUAGCUCGGCUUCUCGCUCGCUCUCGCGUCUUCUCUUCGUCUUACCUUCUGCCCAUUCCGCAAGCGUUUAUCCGACGUGUACAUAAAUAUCCGGUCGACUACUCUGUGUACACGAAGAAGAGCGAACGAACGGCGAUCCCGGCCGUCUUCCCUCGUGGCAGGGCCUCGUGUACGUGCAUAAGUUCUUGCGGAUGAGAGAGCCGGGCUGGCGAGAGUGGCCGGUAGCUGCGAGAGUACACGCCGCCACACGCCGCCAAGCAGCGGCGAAGAGGGGAAAGAGGCAGACAGAUGAGGAACGUGUACACGUACAUGAAAACCACCAACACGCAGAACAAUGGAGUAAGCAACAGAUACUGCUUGCUCCACGAACUACGUAUGAGCCACCCUAUAGAAGAUCGAAUUGGCAGAGAACUAGAGAGAUGGAUGGAGGAGGAGGUUCGCAUGGACGUAUCGUAGUACGGCAUAAAGAUGAUAGAACCGAAUACCGAGCGCAUACCAGCAGUUUGACGUCUGUCUGCCAGCAUAACCAUCACGGAAUUCCGCCUGGUGUUCUUGACCUAUUAGCUGCAGGGUUGCAACCUGACCGUUUCACUUUCUCUGCUUGCGCAGCACUGAAUGGAAAAUUCGAGACCGAACUGUGAAUGAGAAGAAUACGGUUCCUACAGCGGCGAUAACGCAACAGCCGUGAUCAGCUGGUGACGAACGAAAGCAACGACGAAGGAUCUGGCUGGCGCGCAGGACGUUCACACGUUCGAUGCGAAUUCGCGAAACUUCGAUUUGAAAAUAGCAAAGCAACUUUCACCGAGCAUCGGCACGCACGGCAUGAUAACAUGUUAUGACGACACGGCGUGUUUACCCGGCGCUCGCUCAACGCCAAUGUAACGAUAUAAGCCAUUCGUUCUGUUCCUGAAGGCAUUACGCGCCACUAUAGGCGUCGUAAUAUCGUUGUUUGCGGAUUGACCGCGUUUUACCAUUCGGCUAAUUAAUUCCAUUAACUCGCUGCGGGGUGGAAUAAAAGCGCGCGUAUCGGCGCCCGGCAACGGAAUUGUAACGCGGCCACGCGCACCACACUAUUCCGUGUGUAUCGAAUUAAUGAAGUUGGUAAUCAGCGUUGCCAGAUUCUGACUUUCGUACGCCGAUGGGGACGAGGCGGGUGGAGGUGCCUCGCCCUCCCUCCUCCGGCGUUCUCGCCCGACAAAAGUUAAUUACUGCGGCCAGAUACAUGGGCGUGGGCGUGAUUAAUUAUCGCGGCGGAGCGACGAACUCGCACCUUUGCCGGCAUACGCAGAAAUUUAUGGAACAUGUGCUUUGCGCUGUUUGGGAAAUAAUACCUGGUUUAAUUACGAGACCGGUGUGCACGCGCGUCUGCAAUUAUGGGGAAAUAAAAUGACGAUAACGAACGAGCAGAUCAUUACAAUAGACGUACGUCGAUGCGACGCGAUUCCGCUACCAAUAUGCCGCUUUUCUUUUUCUCUUCUGUUUCCUCUUUUUGCCUAUCGUUGCUUCCUUUUUUCGGCCACAUUUGUACGCGUCUGUGGAUAGCACA